GGGGAGGGGGGGGGGUUAUGCUGGAUAUAAAAGGAAUUUAACUUGCCUUUAGAGGUGAAAGCAUUUACUUGAUCUAAUGAUACCCGGAUUAGGCAUACUACUUUAGUGGACAUGUAGGAAACUCGCUGUCAUUCAUUCUAUAUGCAUUCGUACAUAUUCACGUCGGCCUAAUAGGCAAUUGAAAGCCAGUCUUCUGUCAACAUAUAUCUAAAUCCUUCAGAUUCCAAUUCCUUUGCUACAAACCAAACGUCGCCUCGGUUUAUUUGAAGGAUUCGGAAUUUAAAAGGAAAAAAAAAGAAGAGGUUUCACACACCCAAUAAGUGCUUAUUGUCGAAAAAGGGUAUCUUACACAUGUGAGCACUCAUAAUUGAUGUUACUAAUGGCUGCUCUUUUGCUAGUCUAACAGUAACACUAGAAACGUCCAACGUUGGAUCUCUAGGUCUCUUUUGCUGAUUCUAAUCAACAUAGUAAUCUGGCCUUAAGUUAUCUUCUAAUAUUAUUUUGUCUAGCUUGUUUCUUUAAUCAAGGAUCAUACCAUUCAUCAAUCAUGUAUGUUGUUUUGAUUCUCGGAAGCUGCUGAUUACGUCAAAUUUGACUUUCAUUUGUUUGUGUCGUUGAAUAAAUACCAAUCUUGUUAUUAGAAAAUUUUGGGAUUCGUGCGUUGAUGCACCUUUUGAUUUUGAUUUUGAUUGCAGAGAAUUGGAGUAAACUUGAUUUUGAUUUAGAUUUGGGGGAAAUAAGCGUUAAAUUCAUGACUUGGUGGAUUUUGCAUAAGCUCCCUGUGUUAUUAAAAAUUAAUUUGGACUUCACAAAUAAAUGCCAAUCCAUAAGGAACUUUAUAUUGGCUCUUUUGUUGGACUGUUGAAUAGUUUCACUUUUGGAAAGUCAUUGUGGGUUAAACAUGUUCGAUCUCUCAAUGUUGGAUAUGUAAUUCAUGUCGUCUCUAAUUAUUGCAAGUCUGCUUUGCCUUGAUUGCACAAAGGCUCAUCUAAUUCUUAAAAUUAAUAUUUGGGUCUUCGAGUGAAAAUUUGAUGGCUUGUAAAAUUUUCAAGUAUAGCAUGAGAUUUAAGGAAUUUUUGAUUGCAAGAAGAGAACUCCUCAUAGUGAAAUUUUCUUUGUCAUUUUACUCUUUUUUGAGUCAUAUACUCUCGUUUGUAAUGGAAGCCUCCAAUUGUUUCUUUGUCCAUGAUGGUGUAUCUUUCUUCAAAGCCUCAUUUACGUUGUUCCGAAACUGGGCUACCGGAUUUGUAGGUUUGCAGCUUUGUGACAGAGUCAUUCACUUUCGCCUACUUUGGAAUAAUACCAUCUGUGCCCAAACACAUUUUUAACUGAAACUAUCCAUUUUAAACCCAUAAGCCAAAAUAUUGUUUUGUCUUCUCAAUUGGUCAAAUACUUUUAUUUGACAAACUGAAAAAAGAAAGCAACACUUUAACACCAAUUAAGAGAUGGUCAUAUUUUGAAGAUAAACUUUUAAAGUUUGUGUCAGUGUGACCAACCAUGAUUAGUGCUGAACUGUUGGUUUAUAUGUUUAGUUUAGAAAAGCCACGCUUUGACUACGGGUUUAAGGGGACAGUUCGGAUAAAUAUGUGUUUUGGUAUAAAUGGUAGUAUUUUCAGAGUGAGCGAAAGUGUUUGACCAAAUCUAGAAAAUUAUAUACAAAUGUGGCAGCCCGAAUUUGAAUAAGUUCCAAUGAGGAUUUGAAAAAAUAUCCACCAAAAUGGACAAAGAAGCAAUUGGAGGUUUCAUACAAGAGCAAUUCAUCUGGCCUAAUAAGAUGAAGAUUCAGUUUCCGGUGUUUUCUUCUUGCAUGUUGUAGCUAUUUCUUUGGUUAAACAAAAAUGAGGGUAUGUGAAUUAAAGCAUUUUAACGUGUUUCAUCAAAAGAUGGGCAAAAAGACCGAGACCGGUCCCGACCGUCGGUUCUAAAUUAGUAAUAAAUCUUAGAAUUCAUUAAAUCUCAUGUCAUAUUUUAAAAUUUUAUAAGCGAUCAAUUGCCAACUAGACCCAAAUAUAAAAAAAAUCUAUCAACAAAAAUACGAGAGACUUAUGAUAUGAGAGACAACAUAAAUUACACAUGCAAGAUUGAGAGAAUGAGCAUGUUUAACCCACAAUGACUUCACUAAAGUGAAUUUAAUUUAACAGUCCAACAAGGGAGACAAAAUAAAGAUUUUUAUGGAGUGUCAUUUAUUUGUCAAGUCCAUGUUCUUUUUUAAAAAUGAAAAUAGAAAACCUUUGCAGUUCCAAUUUUAACACCCGAAUAUGAGACAAAGUUUAUUAAAUUUCUGCUAAUUUUUGUUUUGCAAGACUACACAGGAACAUCUUCGUCCCAUAGGGGUAGUGGUAACAUAUGCAUACAUUCUACCCUCCCCAUCCCCUACUUCUGUGUGGCUUUGGUUUUUUUAAUGGUUGUUGAUUUUGUACGUGCUUUAACAUAAGGUAGCAGAGGGUGUUCGAUUUGGGACCCACCCCACAUAUUAGGGAAUAGGCGCCGUCUCUUGGUUAGAGGAAAUCGAGAGGAGAGAAUCGUAUCUAUUGGUUCCUGGUGACACUAAAACACCUGCUUGCGUGAUGAAUAUCAAGAUUAUGCUAAGCAAUCUAGUUCGAUAUGUAGGGAUUGCAUUUGUUCUUCCACUCCCUUCAGAAUGGUUUAUGCAUUGUAUGUUCUACACUAUAUACUUAUAUUAUUCUCUUUCCUUCCAUAACUAAUAAUGUCUCUUGUUCCAUAAUGAUGUAUUAUAAAUCUUGGAGUAGAUUCAUUUCUUGUUUAAAAGGAAGUUACUGCAAAUUUAAUAAUGAAUGAAUUAUAGAAAGGAUAAAAUUCAAUAGGCUCAGUUAAUCAUUUUUCAAAAAACAUAAAAAUAUUAAGAAUUCAAGCUUUAUUUAAGGAACAUAAUUAAUAAAAGUGAAGACUUUGAUUGCUUCUACAUUGAUAAGGGAGCACAAAAUUACAACAACAUACAUGAGGGUUUUCCAUUUCAUCCAAUGAUUUACUUUAUCCAUCUCUUGUUUAAUGGUGUUCGUUCGUCUUUAAAAUGAUUUUGUGUUGGCUAUGCUAUUGUAAAUCUUUUAUUCAACAGAAGUUAUUUUUUGAUUACUCUUAGCCUUAUUUAGCAUCAUGGUUUUAAUAGUAUGUAAUUGUUGAGAUGAAAUAAUAACAAUCCUCUUUUAUUAGCACCAAUAAAAAUUCAUUUUACAAUCAUGCACAAUUCAUGAAAAGUUAGAAAUACAGUUCAGCCUAUGCUUGGGGUUGAUAAAGUAGCUUCUAUGUUGGGGUUCAACCAAAAGAAUGUUCAAAAAUAUUGUGAGGAACAAAGAAGCACACAUAGACAACGUUCGGGGUGUUUUUUGAAAGGCAACAUAUUUCAUGAAGGAAAAAAACACCGAGAGAAACAGGACCAAACUGGAUUAGCUAAGAAGUAGAAAGAAACACCAAAGAAGGGUUACCUCCAACAUAUAGGCAACAAGUCGGGAUUUACUUGGAUAGACUUAAAAAUCUACUUCCAUCCAUCCAACUGCCUGUUAUUUCCCUCUGUUUGACAAAAUACAUUUUUGGAUAGACUCAAAAAUCUACAUUUCUUGCUUUUUGUGAUUCUUAUAGUUGGACAGAGAUAGAUGGCAUCGUACGAGCAAGAAGGAAGUCCAGUAAGCAAUAUCAUUGCCUCCAUUGCCAAUUAACCCUUGCUUCUGGAGACAGACAACUAGCUGAAUUCAAAUGGUCCAGAAAUGUCGAGUAUAAGAGCUGAACCAAUAUGGAUGCCAUCUUGUUUGGUACCAUGAUCACGAGGCUUGUUUCUCAACCGUAGAGAUGAUGGGAAAAAGGUUUUUGAAGACCUGCAACAGCCUCAUUUUAAAGCAUCUUCAUGUGGCAGCAUUCUUUUAUGAAUUUAGAUAAAGCUAUAAAAUCCCUAGAGGAAGAAGAGGCAGCUAUUGUGGAAAACAUCAAAAAAGGUCGAACACAUGUCACACAUGUAGGGAAUGCGGGAGCAGGGACUUCACGCCAAAGGCGCUAUGCUAAUGUUUCUCACCACAAUGGUAUGUUGUUCCGUAUGGUUCAAAAGGGUCAAUAAAUUUUCAUUUUAGGAACAUACUUGUAGAAGACAUGUUUAAGAGUAUUUUGAAAACCAUCUAUUUUAGAGAAGUACUUUCAAAGGGCGUGCGGAAAAAUAGACCAUUUACUACAAAAAACUGGCUUUAUAGGACGUCUAAAUUGUAAGUAUUCUUAUAAAAUACUUUAUAGGACCAGACCAACAAGUGUUAUAUCUAAAAGUGUUACAAUAGGUUUAUUGGACGUUUUUAGAUGUUUCAACAAGUUUUUUCAACAAACAUCCUAUCUAAAAGUGUGGUAUUGAUUAUUUUUAAUUAAUCUUUUGGAUUCCUAAUUAAAUACUUCAUUGACAUUUAAUACGUUUGACGAAAAGGUCAAAUUGAAACGGAAAAGAAGGAAAGUAAUGGAUGAAAUUGUCGUAUAUUUAUUUCUUUACCAUUAUAUAUCAAUUGAGGUAAUUAUUUUUUGUCUAUUUUACUUUUAUUACAUUUUA